rnacentral:rRNA from 1 species
AUUGAACGCUAGCGGGAUGCCUUACACAUGCAAGUCGAACGGAGUGGCGAACGGGUGAGUAAUGUAUCGGUACGUGCCCAGUAGCGGGGGAUAACUACGCGAAAGCGUAGCUAAUACCGAAUACUAUUGGAGUGGCCGAUAUCGGAGUAGCUAGUUGGUUGGGUAAGGGCUCACCAAGGCGACGAUCCGUAGCUGGUUUGAGAGGACGACCAGCCACACUGGAACUGAGACACGGCCCAGACUCCUACGGGAGGAAGCAGUGGGGAAUUUUGGACAAUGGGGGAAACCCUGAUCCAGCCAUCCCGCGUGUGCGAUGAAGGCCUUCGGGUUGUAAAGCACUUUUGGCAGGAAGGCGGUACCUGCAGAAUAAGCACCGGCUAACUACGUGCCAGCAGCCGCGGUAAUAC